GACGAACGCUGGCGGCGUGCCUAACACAUGCAAGUCGAACGGUGAUGGGUGCUUGCACCUUGAUCAGUGGCGAACGGGUGAGUAACACGUGAGCAACCUGCCCCCGACUCUGGGAUAACCCCGGGAAACCGGAGCUAAUACUGGAUAUGAGACGUACAGGCAUCGGUCGCGUCUGGAAAGAAUUUCGGUCGGGGAUGGGCUCGCGGCCUAUCAGCUUGUUGGUGGGGUAAUGGCCUACCAAGGCGACGACGGGUAGCCGGCCUGAGAGGGCGACCGGCCACACUGGGACUGGGACACGGCCCAGACUCCUACGGGAGGCAGCAGUGGGGAAUAUUGCACAAUGGGCGCAAGCCUGAUGCAGCGACGCCGCGUGAGGGAUGACGGCCUUCGGGUUGUAAACCUCUUUCAGCAGGGAAGAAGCGCAAGUGACGGUACCUGCAGAAGAAGCGCCGGCUAACUACGUGCCAGCAGCCGCAGUAA
rnacentral:rRNA from 1 species